rnacentral:rRNA from 1 species
UCCGGCGGCUAUUUCGGAGGGGCCACACCCGUUCCCAUCCCGAACACGGAAGUUAAGACCUCCAGAGCCGAUGGUACUGCACGGGCCACCGUGUGGGAGAGUAGGUCGCUGCCGGAG